rnacentral:rRNA from 1 species
GAUGAACGCUAGCGGCAGGCUUAACACAUGCAAGUCGAGGGGUAUAGUUCUUCGGAACUAGAGACCGGCGCACGGGUGCGUAACGCGUAUGCAAUCUACCUUUUACAGGGGGAUAGCCCAGAGAAAUUUGGAUUAAUACCCCAUAGUAUGUUAGAGUGGCAUCAUUUUAACAUUAAAGUUCCAACGGUAAAAGAUGAGCAUGCGUCCCAUUAGCUAGAUGGUAAGGUAACGGCUUACCAUGGCGACGAUGGGUAGGGGUCCUGAGAGGGAGAUCCCCCACACUGGUACGGAGACACGGACCAGACUCCUACGGGAGGCAGCAGUGAGGAAUAUUGGACAAUGGGCGCAAGCCUGAUCCAGCCAUGCCGCGUGCAGGAAGACGGUCCUAUGGAUUGUAAACUGCUUUUGUACAGGAAGAAACACUCCCUCGUGAGGGAGCUUGACGGUACUGUAAGAAUAAGGAUCGGCUAACUCCGUGCCAGCAGCCGCGGUAACAC